rnacentral:rRNA from 1 species
GUGGGGAAUAUUGGACAAUGGGGGGAACCCUGAUCCAGCCAUGCCGCGUGUGUGAAGAAGGCCUUUUGGUUGUAAAGCACUUUAAGCGAGGAGGAGGCUACCGAGAUUAAUACUCUUGGAUAGUGGACGUUACUCGCAGAAUAAGCACCGGCUAACUCUGUGCCAGCAGCCGCGGUAAUACAGAGGGUGCAAGCGUUAAUCGGAUUUACUGGGCGUAAAGCGCGCGUAGGUGGCCAAUUAAGUCAAAUGUGAAAUCCCCGAGCUUAACUUGGGAAUUGCAUUCGAUACUGGUUGGCUAGAGUAUGGGAGAGGAUGGUAGAAUUCCAGGUGUAGCGGUGAAAUGCGUAGAGAUCUGGAGGAAUACCGAUGACGAAGGCAGCCAUCUGGCCUAAUACUGACACUGAGGUGCGAAAGCAUGGGGAGCAAACAGGAUUAGAUACCCCGGUAGUCC